rnacentral:rRNA from 1 species
CCAUGNGUAGCGGUGAAAUGCGUAGAUAUAUGGAGGAACACCGGUGGCGAAAGCGGCUNUCUGGUCUGUCACUGACGCUGAGGCUCGAAAGCGUGGGUAGCGANCAGGAUUAGAUACCCUGGUAGUCCACGCCGUAAACGCUGAGUGCUAGGUGUUAGGUCCUUUCCGGGACUUAGUGCCGACGCUAACGCAUUAAGCACUCCGCCUGGGGAGUACGACCGCAAGGUUGAAACUCAAAGGAAUUGACGGGGGCCCGCACAAGCGGUGGAGCAUGUGGUUUAAUUCGAAGCAACGCGAAGAACCUUACCAGGUCUUGACAUCCCGAUGCCCGCUCUAGAGAUAGAGUUUUACUUUUUGUACAUCGGAGACAGGUGGUGCAUGGUUGUCGUCAGCUCGUGUCGUGAGAUGUUGGGUUAAGUCCCGCAACGAGCGCAACCCUUAUUGUUAGUUGCCAUCAUUAAGUUGGGCACUCUAGCGAGACUGCCGGUAAUAAACCGGAGGAAGGUGGGGAUGACGUCAAAUCAUCAUGCCCCUUAUGACCUGGGCUACACACGUGCUACAAUGGUUGGUACAACGAGUCGCAAGCCGGUGACGGCAAGCUAAUCUCUGAAAGCCAAUCUCAGUUCGGAUUGUAGGCUGCAACUCGCCUACAUGAAGUCGGAAUCGCUAGUAAUCGCGGAUCAGCACGCCGCGGUGAAUACGUUCCCGGGCCUUGUACACACCGCCCGUCACACCACGAGAGUUUGUAACACCCAAAGUCGGUGAGGUAACCAUUUAUGGG